rnacentral:tRNA from 1 species
CAGGGAGACAACAAAAUGUUUAAUAUUAUUAUUUUGUCACCUUAGGUCGAUCGGUAUCUCACGUUCUUAACUAAUUAAGAAUUUCAAUUCCUAAGUUUUUCUAGGUCACACCCAUUAUUUUCCCUGGGCCAUUAGCUCAGGUGGUUAGAGCGCACCCCUGAUAAGGGUGAGGUCCCUGGUUCAAGUCCAGGAUGGCCCAUAUCUCUAUGUUGGGGGUAUAGCUCAGUUGGUAGAGCGCCUGCUUUGCAAGCAGGAUGUCAGCGGUUCGAGUCCGCUUACCUCCACUGAUUACCACCUCUUCCAUAAUUUGUAGAAAGGGAAUUUUUUUGAGUUGUGAUCAACUUCUGAACGAAUCUAGCUUCCUAAUGAAAGCAUUAAGAUGCUGGACUCAUUGAAUUAAUUUCAUUGUUUUCAGAGAACCUUGACAACUGCAUAGAUUAUUUUUAAAGACAAUAAGCAUCUUUAAUGAUGCAGAUUUAUUAUUUGUGCAAAUGCAUUAAUAACAAUUCUAAUAAGCUGAUGCUUCAAUUUUGAAGUUAUU